AUGUAGAGUAAUAGAUAACUCAUUGGAUUAAGAAUCCAAAGGUCGUGGGUUCGAAUUCCACCUGGGAUG